GUAGAAUGGAGACGGAGUAUAUUAGUACCAAUCUUCAAGAACAAGGGGGAUGUUCAGAGUUGUACUAAUUACCAUGGAAUUAAGCUGAUGAGCCAUACAAUGAAGCUAUGGGAGAGAGUCAUUGAGCACCGCUUAAGAAGAAUGACAAGCGUGACCAAAAAUCAGUUUGGUUUCAUGCCUGGGAGGUCGACCAUGGAAGCCAUUUUCUUGGUACGACAACUUAUGGAGAGAUAUAGGGAGCAAAAGAAGGACUUGCAUAUGGUGUUCAUUGACUUGGAGAAGGCCUAUGAUAAGAUACCGCGAAAUGUCAUGUGGUGGGCCUUGGAGAAACACAAAGUCCCAGCAAAGUACAUUACCCUCAUCAAGGACAUGUACGAUAAUGUUGUGACAAGUGUUCGAACAAGUGAUGUCGACACUGAUGACUUCCCGAUUAAGAUAGGACUGCAUCAGGGGUCAGCUUUGAGCCCUUAUCUUUUUGCAUUGGUGAUGGAUGAGGUCACAAGGGAUAUACAAGGAGAUAUCCCAUGGUGUAUGCUCUUUGCGGAUGAUGUGGUGCUAGUUGACGAUAGUCGGACGGGGGCAAAUAGGAAGUUAGAGUUAUGGAGACAAACCUUGGAAUCGAAAGGGUUUAGGCUUAGUAGAACUAAAACCGAGUACAUGAUGUGCGGUUUCAGUACUACUAGGUGUGAGGAGGAGGUUAGCCUUGAUGGCCAGGUGGUACCUCAGAAGGACACCUUUCGGUAUUUGGGGUCAAUGCUGCAGGAGGAUGGGGGUAUUUAUGAAGAUGUGAACCAUCGAAUCAAAGCCGGAUGGAUGAAGUGGCGCCAAGCUUCUGGCAUUCUCUGUGACAAGAGAGUGCCACAAAAGCUAAAAGACAAGUUCUAUAGGACGGCGGUUCGACCCGCAAUGUUGUAUGGCGCUGAGUGUUGGCCGACUAAAAGGCGACAUGUUCAACAGUUAGGUGUG
rnacentral:rRNA from 1 species